CUGCUGCUGUGCAGGCAGGGCAUGUGGGCGUCCUUGGAAAAACCCCAGGCUCAUGCAGAUGCCACGUGUCUGCUGACUAGAUGUGCAGUGUCCUCCUCCGCAACCAGCUCAUCUCAAGGGGUGUGAUGCGGUCCAUGUCCCAGUGGCUGAACUCCUCCCACUCAGAAAACCUUCAGCUCACAGCAAUGGCUCUCUGUGCUGAGGUGAGGCAGCUGCAAGAGGAGAGUUCUUCUUAAGAAACUGCUGCUUGGCUUGUCGUCUUCUUUGGGAAGAGGGUGAUAGAGAGGAGAGUCAUCAUUAAGACUCCAAAGGAUGCUCCUUUACACAAUGCCUGUUCAUAUGCUGUGCCAGGGCUUAAGCUGUAUCUUGGUGCUCAGGGACAUGUCGCUUUAUUUUAGUGGAUGAAAGAACCACCGAUCACAGAGAGGAAGUUCCUGGAGAGUGUCCUGGACAUCUUGAUGGAGAAAGCACAGCACAGAAUCAACGCUGUGCGACAGAUGGCAGUGAGACGCCUGGGCAACACAUUCAGAAGAGCAUCUGAGAAGGUGCGAAAGCACAAGAAGGCCAUUCUGGAAGUACUGCAGAGAUGCGUGGAGGACGUUGCCUGUCCCCAGCUGGUUGCUGAGAGCAUGCUUGUGCUGGCUAAGAUGGUGAGAAAGCUGCGCCCAAAGGACUUGGGGUCUGCCUUUGAAGACAUCGCCAGGAUGUUCUUUG